rnacentral:rRNA from 1 species
AUGGUGGAAGAUGUGCAUUCCGAAGAAGAAGGCGGACUUGGAUUUAGGGACCUACAUAGUUCCAACAUUGCUAUGUUAGCAAAGCAGUAUUGGCGCCUUAUUCAAAACCCUGAUUCAUUGUAUGCACGUGCUCUUAGUUCUAAGUACUAUCCAGAUAGCAAUCUUUUAAAUGCUAGUCCUAAGAAAGGCUCUUCAUACACAUGGCAGUCCAUAGUUGCAAGAGUACAAACAUCCAUACGCGGUUGUAUUUGGCGUGUGGGCAGUGGUAAAAAAAAUGAUAUUUGGCUGGAUCCUUGGAUUCCUAGUAGUGUUACACGGAAAGUUACCCCACGCAGUGCAGUUAUGUUGAGUAAAGUGGAGGAUUUGAUUGCUCCACAUAGAGGGCAAUGGGAUGAGGUGCUAAUUAGAGACAUCUUUUCCCCUGUUGAUAUUAAUCGAAUUAUGAAAAUACCCCUACAUGUGUAAGGAGUGAAUGACUUUGUGGCAUGAAGUUAUACAAGGUCAGGAGCAUUCUCAGUUAAAUUAGCAUAUCAUAGAGAGCUUGAGCAUCAACUCGGUGGCAGGUUGGUGAGGCCAGAUGGUCAAGGCAAUGUCCAAACUAAUCCUGUAUGGAAAAAAAAUCGGAACUUGUGCAUUCCUGGAAAGAUAAAGCACUUUGCUUGGAAAGUGUUUCGAGGCUCACUUCCAUGUUACAACAUUUUGGCCGGGCGUCAUUUUUCCUACUCGCCUCAGUGCCCGAUCUGUAGGGUGGGAUAUGAGGAUAUUCAACACUGUCUAUUCACCUGUCGACGCGCAAGAGAAGUAUGGAGAGCACUUGGACUACUAGAGACUAUGCAAUAG